rnacentral:rRNA from 1 species
AUUGAACGCUGGCGGCAUGCCUUACACAUGCAAGUCGAACGGUAACAGGUCUUCGGAUGCUGACGAGUGGCGAACGGGUGAGUAAUACAUCGGAACGUGCCCGAUCGUGGGGGAUAACGAAGCGAAAGCUUUGCUAAUACCGCAUAAGAUCUACGGAUGAAAGCAGGGGACCGCAAGGCCUUGCGCGAACGGAGCGGCCGAUGGCAGAUUAGGUAGUUGGUGGGAUAAAAGCUUACCAAGCCGACGAUCUGUAGCUGGUCUGAGAGGACGACCAGCCACACUGGGACUGAGACACGGCCCAGACUCCUGCGGGAGGCAGCAGUGGGGAAUUUUGGACAAUGGGCGAAAGCCUGAUCCAGCCAUGCCGCGUGCAGGGAGAAGGCCUUCGGGUUGUAAACUGCUUUUGUACGGAACGAAACGGUCUGGGUUAAUACCCUGGGCUAAUGACGGUACCGUAAGAAUAAGCACCGGCUAACUACGUGCCAGCAGCCGCCGUAAGAC